rnacentral:SRP_RNA from 1 species
GCCGGGCGUGGUGGCGGGCGCCUGUAGUCCCAGCUACCCGGGAGGCUGAGGCAGGAGAAUGGCGUGAACCCAGGAGGUGGAGCUUGCAGUGAGCUGAGAUCGCGCCACUGCACUCCAGCCUGGGUGACAAAGCAAGACUCUGUCUCAA